ACCACCACACGUAACAACGGGUCCGGACAAUGGGACUCGGAACCCUGACAUCGUGACUGACACAAGGCCCCAGGCCCUACGGGGCGCAGCAGGCGCGAAAACUCCGCAAUGCGCGCAAGCGUGACGGGGGAACCCCAAGUGCCGUUGGUCUUUUGAUCGACGGCUUUUCGGAAGUUCAAUACGCUUCGGAAUAAGGGCUGGGUAAGGCUGGUGCCAGCCGCCGCGGUAA
rnacentral:rRNA from 1 species